CUCUCUCUCUCUCUCUCUCGUAGCUACAAAGGGACUAAAUAAUUUAAUACGAAUAUAUUAAAACUUUAAGGGAUGUAAGAAAUUUUUUGCCAACUUAUUUUUUGAUCUAUAAACCAGCUACAAUCGUAACUAUCUUAACCUUAAGAAAUUCAGUGAAUUCUUGGUCGUGUUUGACUGUUUGACUUUUUUUUAGUGUACGCAUUGCGAUCGACUUUCCUAUUAAAAUUUGAGAGGGCUUGAACGACGAUAACGAGACAUGGAAAUUUUUGUGACGACGGGGUGGUUCUAGGGAAGUUACGAGCUAGUGGCCAGGACGUUCCUGACUGAUAUUACGGAGAUAUCCCGACGCCAGGAACGCAAUUGGAAUUCAAUCAGAUACUUGACAUGAAGUACAUACGCUGAUCGCCGGCAAUGAACCUACAUAGCCUGACUUAACCUAACCUCCGCUGCAAGGCUAAAAUCAUCUAUACGAAUGACAGGAGUGAGGAUGACUUUGAUUGGGAUCAAUAUACAUUGACAUUCCUCGAUACACUCUCGUUACACAAAGUAAGAAUACUUCCAGAUGCAAUUUUAUCUACGUUAUCGAUCCCAACGAACUCCACGUCGAUGAUAACCGGGCUCAAAUGUUUCGCAACGUACAAGAGUCUUUUAUCGUGUACGAGUAUCUGGAAUCAUCAAGAACAUUCAAGAGGAUCCUCUCUCGAGCGAAUACGAUCCUGAAUCUCUAAUCUAAAAUCACAGCAAUAAUCGUGUACUCAAGGGGUUCUUAUUAUUCCACGAAACGUCCUGACCUUCGUGACGCUAUUUCGACAUCGGGAGAAAAAUAUAAAACGUGAAUCCACGUGCGUCAGAGAUUCUAAUGAUCGCGUGCUCAUCAAACAUUUCAACCCCCGUUUUAACGUAUCUUAUAAGCAGCUCACCUUGGAUCCCAAUCUGACCCCUUAAAAUUCAAUGCUUGUCCCAUCCCUGAGGGAUACGACAUAUCCCCGGUAACUUGACAAUGGCCAAAGUUUUCACCUUGAAUUGACAUCCGAAGGAAGGAACACGAUGUUGAAAAUCUUUUUAAAAAUUCACACAGGAUACAAUGGAUGGAAAAUAAUUAUGAUUGACCGGUUGGCUGGCUUCCUGGGACAUGGCACCGAAAUCCGAGAUGAUCGACCGUUACGUCUAGAGUUCCCGUAGACACGUGCGAACAGCACGCGCGUGUUAUAUACAUAUAUAUAUAUAUAUAAACACAGCAGCAAAUGAUAGCAGCGGUAAGCCACUCGAUAAGGUCCAAACCUUUUCCUUUCACUUUGAACCCUUCCUCAUCUUCGACUCACUCUCUUCCCACGUGUUACGUCAUCUAGAUCCAAUGCUCGUGCCAGCCCCACCUACAGAUGCUAAUGCUAGCCAUCUUCAAGUGAUACGCUUCACUGGACGAAAUGAAUGCCAGAGCAACUUGUGUGUAAAAUUCAAAGCAUCGAGGACAUUUCUGUGAGGGGUUGGAUAGACAAGAAGGGAUAGGUAGGAUAUAACCAGGGUAUGGAAAAACGAGUCAAGGGUAAAUAUUGCCAGGAUAUAGCAAAGUCAAGUAAAACCGGAUGUUCCCUUUCCGGUUAGUGUCAUGGAUCUUGGUCAGAGGGUGCCUUUUGCCCGGUAUUAAAGAGGAAAACGAAUUCAAGAAGAA